GAAGGAUUAACACAGAUGGGUAACACAGGAACUGCUUCAGCUUGACUUGCACCAAUUUGCAUCCUCGAAUGGAGAGUAUCUCACUUUGACGGGGUGCCAAAUGUUCAGCCACAGAUUGAUAUUGACUGAUAUUAAGCCAGAGAUUUA